UGAAACAAUUGUAGGAGGAAACCGCUGAUCUUGGUUUCAAUUACUUUGAUAUGGGCACCUAGUGUAUGUGGUAUAAAAGGAUCGCAAAGUGAGUGACAAGUUGGGGAACAUGUAUAUUUGGUAUCAUCCUUGUACUGUUAUAUCUAAUUAUGUAGGAGACCCUUAGCCCGUAAGUGAUUGACGUAUUAAAAGCCUGGAUUGCCUUGUUUGAUAGUUCU